CUCUUUGAAUCUCCAACCCCUCGGUGUUCAUCGCACAUUACAAUUCAUCGCUGGCCCUCAUUGUAGUUCGCUGUUCGCCAUCACCGGUGCUGUUCUGCGUCUCUGUCUUUGCUCCGCAAGUGAAGGUUUGUUAGAGUGAAGAAGUUGAAAGAGCAAUUGUUGGAAAAUAAAUAACAGACUUAUUGGGUUCUAGAUUUUGUGAAGAGGUAGAGGUAGAGGAAGAGGUCAGGGUGGUAGAGGUCUUACUCUUGGAAGAGGAAGAGGAAGGCCUACUAGUAGUGCUCCACAACUUUCACCCAUUGAACAAGAUAAUAACAUAUUUCAAGCCCCUCAACUAGAUUUAUAAGAACCAUUACUUGAACAAGAUGCAACCUCCCCCGCUACACAGAUGAGUAGCACAGGUAAGUUUUCUUCAACUUUAAAUAAUACAAAUCAACUAGUUUUCAUAAUGUGUUGCAUCUAAUCAUUUCUUUCCUUUUAUUUGAAAUAUAGCUUCUAAUAGCUCCCAAAAGAAGGGUAGAGGUAUUUAUAAGGCAACUAAACUUGACCUUCAGACAAAGCAUGGUGUUAAACUGAAUUUGAGACUUGUAGACAACGUAGAUAGAGCAUUAGGAG